rnacentral:tRNA from 3 species
GCUAGCGUAGCUUAAUUAAAGCAUAGCGCUGAAGACGUUAAGAUGGGCCCUAGAAAGCUCCGCAAGCA